GACGAACGCUGGCGGCGUGCUUAACACAUGCCAGUCGAACGAAGAGCGACGGAAGCUUGCUUCUAUCAAUCUUAGUGGCGAACGGGUGAGUAACGCGUAAUCAACCUGCCCUUCAGAGGGGGACAACAGUUGGAAACGACUGCUAAUACCGCAUACGAUCUAACCUCGGCAUCGAGGAUAGAUGAAAGGUGGCCUCUACAUGUAAGCUAUCACUGAAGGAGGGGAUUGCGUCUGAUUAGCUAGUUGGAGGGGUAACGGCCCACCAAGGCGAUGAUCAGUAGCCGGUCUGAGAGGAUGAACGGCCACAUUGGGACUGAGACACGGCCCAGACUCCUACGGGAGGCAGCAGUGGGGAUCUUCCGCAAUGGACGAAAGUCUGACGGAGCAACGCCGCGUGAGUGAUGACGGCCUUCGGGUUGUAAAGCUCUGUUAAUCGGGACGAAAGGCCUUCUUGCGAAUAGUGAGAAGGAUUGACGGUACCGGAAUAGAAAGCCACGGCUAACUACGUG
rnacentral:rRNA from 1 species